UAGAGGAAGAAAAGGUCAGCAUCAUAACCAUAUCACGCAUCAAAGAUCCAAGAAAGGAGUUUUGCCAGUAUAAAGUUGGGGAUUUGGUGAAAGCCAGCUGCCAUGGCUUUUCUGGCGUGCAUCCCGCCAAGAUCUUAGAUGAUGGAGCUGAUGCCUGGUAGUGGGAUCUACAUUUAUCCCAAAGAUAUACAAGCUUUAUAUAAGCCAAAAAAAACAACAAACAACAAGUGGAACUUUUCAGGAGGGGGAACCUAACUGGUGCAAAUGAAAAGACCAUUUUAAACACUAUUCUUGAUGAUGCCGGGAUUCAGAGGCCAUUGUCAAGUUUUCGAUGAGGACCAAGAUUAGUUCCCAAGUCAGCCUCCAGAACAUGAAACAGACCUAGCUUUUAUACAUUCAGUAAUGUGAUAUAUAUAUAUAUAUAUAUAUAUAUAUAUAUAUAUAUAUAUGGGAUUCCCUUCAUAAGGGAUUGUCCAAUUUUUAAUGUGAUAAUAUGUACAAAGAGUUAGUGAUGAAUAUUUUAUUUAUAUUUUUGUGCCAAACUUUAUAAAUGAUUGAUUGUUUGAUGUUUUCUGCCACGCUCAACAAUUUUUCAGUUAUCUGGUGGCACCCAGUUUUUAUUGGUGGAAGAGAGAACCCAGAUACAAUGUACCUUGGAAGAGACCACCGACCUUCCGAAAGUAAACUGGGAAACUUUCUCACUUACCGGCGCGAGCGGGAUUCGAACCCGCGCCGACAGAGGUGAGAGGCCAUGUGAUUUGGAGUGCGAUGCUCUAACCACUCGGCCACCUUUAUAAAUGAAAUUAAUAUACCAAUAAUAGUCGCUGUUUACAAUCGGUAAUGUCUUAUUAUCCCCAUCUUUUUUGUAACUUUUCCAUAACUUUUGUCGGGUAUAACUUUUUUGUAACUUUUCCAUAACUUUUGUCGGGUAUAACUUUUUUGUAACUUUUCCAUAACAUUUGUCGGGUAUAACUUUUAUGUAACUUUCUCCAUAACUUUUGUUGGGUAUAACUUUUUUGUAACUUUUCGAUAACUUUUGUCGGGUAUAACUUUUUUGUAACUUUUCCAUAACUUUUGUCGGGUAUAACUUUUAUGUAACUUUCUCCAUAACUUUUGUUGGGUAUAACUUUUUUGUAACUUUUCCAUAACUUUUGUCAGGUAUAACUUUUUUGUAACUUUUCCAUAAAUUUUGUCAGGUAUAACUUUUUUGUAACUUUUCCAUAACUUAAGUAUAACUUUUUGAUAACUUUUGUGAAGUAUAACUUUUUUGAAGUAUAACUUUUUGAUAACUUUGAUGCACUUGUUGUAUUCAUGUUGAAAUAAAAGAUGAUAACUUAUACAUGAGUAUAACUUUUUUGUACCCGAGUUAUAAGUAAAGUAUAACUUUAUUUGAAGAAGUGGUUCCAAACUCCGAUAACUUAGUUAUAACUUUUUUGUAACUUUUCUUAGUUACAAAGUUAUAACUUAGUUAUAGUUUUUUUCGGUAUGG